rnacentral:sRNA from 1 species
GUGAUAUUUUAUAACAUAUAUGUUACAUAAAUAGCAUGUUAUAUAAAAAAAUAUCGUUUCAUUUGAAAAGUUGAGCCAGGAGCAAGCUUAUACGAAGAUAAAAUAAUAGAUUUGAGAAAGUUUUAACAUUUAAGUCAUGUUUUAAGAAGAAAUUACAUGUGAUUUUAAUAAAUAAUGUGUUAUAUGAAAAAGUAGCAUGUUGACAGAGAUAGAUUUCUAAUUAUCACGUGUAAUUCGAAAAAGUAGCGUGGUAUAAAAGAAAAUAACAUACAAUUUAAAAAGAAAACAUAACGACGGAAAUUCUAAGAAAGAAUCAAAAUCGAAUAAAAUAAAAUGACAAAUCUUCUGCAAAUUAAGGGAAAGAUGAUCUAUCAAUAUAAAUAACGUUUGGCAGCCUAGAUUUAUCGAAAAAAAGAUCGGGUGGUUGUGAUGGUGGAAGAUGUAGUGGUUGUGGUGGUGGAAGAAAGAAAGAUGAGAUGAUUCUAAGUGUUCUGUAUCAUUUUGGAAAAUAGCAUGUAAUAUAUAUAAAAUACAAAAAUGGAUAAAAAUGUAAUUGCAAUUGAAGAAAGAGAGUGUACUCUGACACCAUGGUUAUUUUGUUGAUUCUUUUAUAAUCCAUAGUCAUCUAGUGCAUAUUCUCUUUUUUUUUUUUUUUUACAUUCAAACUCCAUAUAUUACUUUACAGAUGUUUGACAAAAAAAAAAUCACGGAUAAGAACUCUUUUCUAGAGAGAGCCAAUCGGGUACCGUCGAACUUACAUGGGAAAAACAGAACCCGCGAACUCUUGCACAUUUUGCUAGAUGAUCGGCGGAAGUAUUACCAUUACGAGGAAUAUAC